rnacentral:lncRNA from 10 species
UCCAGUGCUGAGGGAUGAAUGAGUUUAACUCUAAAUAGCUGCAUCUGCAAAACUUGAGAAGAUGGCAAAGCGCCAAAACAUGUAGCCAUCCUAAAGAGUGUCUAUAACAUCCAGGAUCUGAGACAUCACUCCAGCUGGAUAUGGCUCAGAAGAUGGCUUCAUGUGACAAGGUUAACCACUUCCCCCAGCCACUGGUUGCCUGAAACUCAAUUUGCCCAGAGACCUCAAAAGGCCUCAUGCUCAGGCCUGCCACCUGUCACAUCCAGGAGCCAAAACAAAGGAACAAGCAAACAAUUAUCAAGAGCGAAACCAGUUUUGUACAGAGGGAUUUUGCAACAGGAUAGUUUUGCCAUUUUCCAGAAGAUAGUUUCAUGAGUUAAGGGAAUCACUUCAGCCACAUCGAUUUUUAUAGUACAGGUUGCCAGAAUGUAUCCCUGAUUUUCUUUAAUAAUUUUAGAGAAUGUCACUUUUAAAAUUUUACUUAAUAUUAAAAAUGUUAAUCAUUAAAGAUUUGGAAAAUACUGAAAAGUAGAGAAAAGAACAUUUUAAUUGUUUCAUAUUACCCUGCUAAUUUUUAGUGGGUCUCUUUUCAGUGUUUUCUCUCGUAAGUAAUAUAAGUACUUAUUUUUUACAGAAUAUGAAUCAAAUUACAGACACUAUUUGGUACCCUGCCACUCUCAAACAUCUUUGCCACAUCAUUAAGGUUGAAAAUAUGAUUUUUGAUGGAUAGUUUAUGUUUCAUUAUAAGCAUAUGCCAUGAAUUAAGCAACCCCAAGCUUCUAUUAUUGAAUAUUUAAUUUAUUUUUAUAAUUUCCUAUUACACAUAAAACUGCAGUUAGCCUUCCUAAACAAAAGUCCCUGGUUUUUAUUGAGAAUAAAAACCUAAAAAUAAAGUCACUGGAUCAAAGGGGUAAGUAUUGUUUUAAGACUUUUAAUACCUAAUGUCAUAUUGUCCUCCAGAGAGUUUAUGUCAAUUUAUACCUCUGCCAGCAAGGAUUUGAUGCCAAAGCCCUAGUAAUAAUGUCCAUCUGCCUAGGGUCCCAUAUAUACAUCUGUCAUUCAGUAACAUGGGAUCCAAUAGGUGACUGGUUCAGGAUUUGAGGAUAUUGGUUUCCAGCCAUUAAUUUCUUUGUAUCAGGAAACAAGAUACAAAGAGACAAGACCACAAAUCAAGUGUUUAAAAUUUAUCAAUGUAAGUCGUUAUACUCGGUAUUAUGCAGUUUUCUCUUAUUUUUUAAAUCUCUGUUACUGUAGG